rnacentral:misc_RNA from 1 species
UUUCCGUAGGUGAACCUGCGGAAGGAUCAUUAUUGGAUUUUGAAACUUCAGGCUGCUGCUGGCUCUCCUCGGAGGGCAUUUGCACGCUUGUUGUCCAUUAUUUCUCCCACUGUGCACAAAUUGUAGACCUUUCAGUAGGCCUAUGUUGUUUUUCACAAUCUCUGAAUGUAAUAGAAUGGUUUUGAAUCUUGGGAAAUACAAUACAACUUUCAGCAACGGAUCUCUUGGCUCUC